UACGGAGGGUGCAAGCGUUAUCCGGAUUCACUGGGUUUAAAGGGUGCGUAGGAGGGCAGGUAAGUCAGUGGUGAAAUCUCCGAGCUUAACUUGGAAACUGCCGUUGAUACUAUCUGCCUUGAAUAUUGUGGAGGUGAGCGGAAUAUGUCAUGUAGCGGUGAAAUGCUUAGAUAUGACAUAGAACACCAAUUGCGAAGGCAGCUCGCUACACAUAUAUUGACACUGAGGCACGAAAGCGUGGGGAUCAAACAGG
rnacentral:rRNA from 1 species